rnacentral:rRNA from 1 species
GACGAACGCUGGCGGCGUGCUUAACACAUGCAAGUCGAGCGGUAAGGCCCUUUCGGGGGUACACGAGCGGCGAACGGGUGAGUAACACGUGGGUGACCUGCCCUCAGCUCUGGGAUAAGCCCGGGAAACUGGGUCUAAUACUGGAUAUGACUCCAUGACGCAUGUUGUGGGGUGGAAAGCCUUGUGCGGCUGAGGAUGGGCCCGCGGCCUAUCAGCUUGUUGGUGGGGGAUGGCCUACCAAGGCGACGACGGGUAGCCGGCCUGAGAGGGCGACCGGCCACACUGGGACUGAGACACGGCCCAGACUCCUACGGGAGGCAGCAGUGGGGAAUCUUGCGCAAUGGGCGAAAGCCUGACGCAGCGACGCCGCGUGAGGGAUGACGGCCUGGUGUAA